ACCUUAAUAGUGUAGUGGUAGAACGUCCGCGGUACGGAUGAAACACGGGUUCAACUCCCGUCUAAGGUA